rnacentral:rRNA from 1 species
CCCUAGUGGCGCACGGGUGAGUAACGCGUGGGAACCUGCCCUGUGGUACGGAAUAACUCCGGGAAACUGGAGCUAAUACCGUAUGCGUCCUUUGGGACAAAGAUUUAUCGCCAUGGGAUGGGCCCGCGUAGGAUUAGCUUGUUGGUGGGGUAACGGCCUACCAAGGCUUCGAUCCUUAGCUGGUCUGAGAGGAUGAUCAGCCACACUGGGACUGAGACACGGCCCAGACUCCUACGGGAGGCAGCAGUGGGGAAUAUUGGACAAUGGGCGCAAGCCUGAUCCAGCAAUGCCGCGUGAGUGAUGAAGGCCUUCGGGUUGUAAAGCUCUUUCGCACGCGACGAUGAUGACGGUAGCGUGAGAAGAAGCCCCGGCUAACUUCGUGCCAGCAGCCGCGGUAAUACGAAGGGGGCUAGCGUUGUUCGGAAUUACUGGGCGUAAAGGGCGCGUAGGCGGUACUUCAAGUCAGGCGUGAAAGCCCCGGGCUCAACCUGGGAACCGCGCUUGAGACUGGAGAACUAGAGUUCGGGAGAGGAUGGUGGAAUUCCCAGUGUAGAGGUGAAAUUCGUAGAUAUUGGGAAGAACACCGAUGGCGAAGGCAGCCAUCUGGACCGACACUGACGCUGA